GCCCGAAUCCAGGCCUUACGGGGCGCAGCAGGCCGAAACUUUCCAAUGCGGAACCCGUGAUAAGGAACUCCGAGUGUCCGUAAAUUCGGACUGUCCGUAUGUUUAAAAAGCAUACGAAGAAGGCCGGCAAGACCGGUGCCAGCCGCCGCGGUAAUACCGGCGGCUCGAGUGGUGCCACUAUUACUGGGCUUAAAGCGUUCGUAGCUUGGUUGUUAAGUCUCUUGGGAAAUCUAUCGGCUUAACCGAUAGGCGUCCAGGGGAUACUGGCAAUCUAGGGACCGGGAGAGGUGAGGGGUACUUCAGGGGUAGGAGUGAAAUCCUGUAAUCCCUGGGGGACCACCUGUGGCGAAGGCGCCUCACCAGAACGGCUCCGACAGUGAGGGACGAAAGCUGGGGGAGCAAACCGGAUUAGAUACCCGGGUAGUCCCAGCCGUAAACGAUGCACGUUAGGUGUAUCGAUGACCACGAGUCAUCGAGGUGCCGAAGGGAAACCGUGAAACGUGCCGCCUGGGAAGUACGGUCGCAAGGCUGAAACUUAAAGGAAUUGGCGGGGGAGCACCACAACAGGUGGAGCCUGCGGUUUAAUCGGACUCAACGCCGGAAAUCUCACCGGAUAAGACAGCUGAAUGAUAGUCGGGCUGAAGACUCUACUUGACUAGCUGAGAGGAGGUGCAUGGCCGUCGUCAGUUCGUACUGUGAAGCUCCUGUAANCAUYU
rnacentral:rRNA from 1 species